rnacentral:snRNA from 1 species
GUGAGGGUGAUCUGGCUUUGAUACCUGUCACCACACAGAUGGCCAAGCCAGGGUUCAUUUGGUGGAUCUGGCUGGCUGGGCAGGUGUCCUCCUCCUCCUCCUCCUUCAACACUUCCUCUGUGUCCCUCCUGAAGUUGCUCACUCUUUGCUCACUCUAUUGAAGACGACCUUCCCAAUAGAGGACUGGUGUUCACUCAAGGGUAUAUGAGUGGAUACACUCCCCAGCUACAACCUUCAAACAAGCUCUCAAAAUAAAUCAUUGCACAUGAAAAAACCAUUGACCAGCUCAUUAACAGAAAUUUUCAUAAUCCAAAAGAAGGAAAUUCUGAAAAU